rnacentral:tRNA from 4 species
UCUCGAUUGGUCUAGUGGUCAGGAUACUCGCUUGUCACGCGAGUGGCCGGGGUUCGAUUCCCCGAUCGAGAG